CCCUUAGAUGUUCUGGGCCGCACGCGCGCUACACUGAUGCAUUCAACGAGUCUAAAACCUGCUCUGAUAGGGGUGGGUAAUCUUUUGAAUGUGCAUCGUGAUUGGGAUAGAUGAUUGCAAUUUUUCAUCUUCAACGAGGAAUGCCUAGUAAACGCAAGUCAUCAGCUUGCAUUGAUUACGUCCCUGCCCUUUGUACACACCGCCCGUCGCUCCUACCGAUUGAAUGAUCCGAUGAAUAUCAUGGAUUGAGGAUUAUAGCAGGUUCGCCUGUCUUGAUCUUCGAGAAGUGAAGUAAAUCUUAUCAUUUAGAGGAAGGGGAAGUCGUAACA
rnacentral:rRNA from 1 species